rnacentral:piRNA from 1 species
UAAAGAAGUAGUACAAAUGAUGUGUGU